rnacentral:rRNA from 1 species
GCGCACGCUGGCGGCGUGCUUCACACAUGCAAGUCGCACGGAAAGGCCCUGCUUUUGUGGGGUGCUCGAGUGGCGAACGGGUGAGUAACACGUGAGUAACCUGCCCUUGACUUUGGGAUAACUUCAGGAAACUGGGGCUAAUACCGGAUAGGAGCUCCUGCUGCAUGGUGGGGGUUGGAAAGUUUCGGCGGUUGGGGAUGGACUCGCGGCUUAUCAGCUUGUUGGUGGGGUAGUGGCUUACCAAGGCUUUGACGGGUAGCCGGCCUGAGAGGGUGACCGGCCACAUUGGGACUGAGAUACGGCCCAGACUCCUACGGGAGGCAGCAGUGGGGAAUAUUGCACAAUGGGCGGAAGCCUGAUGCAGCAACGCCGCGUGCGGGAUGACGGCCUUCGGGUUGUAAACCGCUUUCGCCUGUGACGAAGCGUGAGUGACGGUAAUGGGUAAAGAAGCACCGGCUAACUACGUG